AUUGAACGCUGGCGGCAGGCUUAACACAUGCAAGUCGAACGAGUGGCGGACGGGUGAGUAAUGUCUGGGAAACUGCCUGAUGGAGGGGGAUAACUACUGGAAACGGUAGCUAAUACCGCAUACCAUCGGAUGUGCCCAGAUGGGAUGAGCUAGUGGGGGGGGUAAAGGCUCACCUAGGCGACGAUCCCUAGCGGGUCUGAGAGGCGGACCAGCCACACUGGAACUGGGACACGGUCCAGACUCUGACGGGAGGCAGCAGUGGGGAAUAUUGCACAAUGGGCGCAAGCCUGAUGCAUCAAUGCCGCGUGUAUGAAGAGGGCCUUGGGGUUGUAAGGUACUUUCAGCGGGGAGGCGUUACCCGCAGAAGAAGCACCGGCUAACUCCGUGCCAGCAGCCGCGGUAAUUC
rnacentral:rRNA from 1 species